rnacentral:tRNA from 2 species
GUUUGAAUAGCUUAUACAGAGCAUAACAUUGAAGAUGUUAGGGAGAUUUUAGAAUCUUUGAACA